rnacentral:rRNA from 1 species
UGGGGAAUAUUGGACAAUGGGGGAAACCCUGAUCCAGCAAUGCCGCGUGAGUGAAGAAGGCCUUAGGGUUGUAAAGCUCUUUCACCCGUGAAGAUGAUGACUGUAGCGGGAGAAGAAGCCCCGGCUAACUCCGUGCCAGCAGCCGCGGUAAUACGGAGGGUGCAAGCGUUAAUCGGAAUCACUGGGCGUAAAGCGCGCGUAGGCGGUUUGAUCAGUCAGAUGUGAAAGCCCCGGGCUCAACCUGGGAACUGCAUUUGAAACUGGUCAACUAGAGUAUGGUAGAGGAAAGUGGAAUUUCUGGUGUAGCGGUGAAAUGCGUAGAUAUCAGAAGGAACAUCAAUGGCGAAGGCAGCUUUCUGGCCCAAUACUGACGCUGAGGUACGAAAGCGUGGGUAGCAAACAGG